UGUAAUGGUGAUGAGUUCUUGUUCUCUCUGCAGGUUGACACACAGCUGUAUUACAGAUGAAGGUUUUAUAUCUCUGGCUUCAGCUCUGAGAUCAAACUCCUCAUCACUCCUGAAAGAACUGAAUCUGAUCCACAAUAAUCCAGGAGAAUCAGGAGUGAAGCUUCUCACUGAUCUACAGAAGGAUCCUCACUGUAAACUGGAGACACUAUAUGUAUAAGUGACAGAGCACCUUGACCCGUGUGUGACCGGCACUUCAUGGUCAGAUGGAAUGAUCUUUAAUUUGAGCUGCUUUAUUAGCUGAAUGAAGCUUCACCAUGAGCAGAGAGAAGUUGUUCUUCACCUUAAUCUUCUAGUGACAGUUCAACCAACAGUGAAACCCCAAUAUAAUGAUGCAGACAUGAAUUGACCUGGACAUGAUGAGUUCCAAUUUGAUGUUUGGCAAGAUCUCUACAACCAAUCCAGCCAAUCUCUGUCAGUUACAGUAAUCACACUGAUCUUCUGCUGUCUGCUCUGUGUGAGCACAGGAAACCACCAUGUAAUAGAUAUGAAGAUAAAUGGUGGAGUGAAAAACACCUUAGUUUGAAAAAAUGACACUUUGACAUUAGGGAUGUCCCGAUCCGAUCUCAAAGAUCGGGAUCAGGGCCGAUCAAGGCAUUUUUUAACUGAUCGGCAUUGGCUUUACUAAACCCGAUCCUAAUCCCGAUCCUUUGUUUUACAUCAGCAGGAAAUACUUUAAAUUGGAAAGUGAAACAAGUCCAACAGUGAAGUGUAACGUCUGCAGUGUGAGCGUUUCACGAGGCGGUGGGAGCAGAGCUGCGUUCAUUACUGUAGAAUUUUAUUGUUUAUAUGGUGUGAGAGUCAAGAAUCACUCCGGUUUACAAAACAACGUAGUGAUGCACUUGCUUAAUAAAGAAAUAAAUACACGCUAUAUUCACAAAUUGUCGGGAGCAAAACACUUUAUUAACUUCUUCUGUUACGGUACCGAAUAGCGGACAGCUAGAGCCAAGCACGCUAUUCCAUGCACUAUGGAAGCCCCACAGGGUCAAAACACACUCACUUCGGGUAGAAACGUCCAUCAAACCAUCGUCACAAUACAAGCACUUUAAAAACUGGCUUUCCUUCAUAAAAAAAGAGCCUGUCCAUUUUAUUUUGGUAUUCAGGUUUUACUGUAAUGCUUUUAAGUAACUUUUUUUCUUAUAUUCAAGUUAAGCUGCUACACAGAUUUCUGUUCAUUUUUAGUGCAUCACUGCAUUAAACAGAUUUUAUUUAUUCAAAUGUAAAGUUUAAAGUAAAACUGUAAUUAUCUCACUCAUUUUGAUUGAUUUUGUAAAAAUAAAAAAACAUUAAGCCAAUAGUUUGGAUGCAGCAUUUUACCCUACAGCACUGCAGAGCUAUUCAGUUAUUAAACAUAUACACUGGAUUAAUUUGAAUAACUGUAAUGUAGUUGAAGUGUGCACUGUGUGAACAGUAUUAUCCAGUUCUUAUCUAGACAAUAUCUAGAAAAUAGAUAUUUCGGUUUAAGUAUCGGUUUGAGACUCGGUAUCGAAUCGGGAUCAAAUUUAAUAAUCGGGAUCGGGAACAAAAAAACGUGAUCGGGACAUCCCUAGUUGACUAUCUUCUUCUUAUUAUUAUUAGUGUGAUUGCAGUAGACAGUUACACUGCUGUUACUCCUCUUCUUCUUAUUAUUAUUCCACCUGUUUACCUUUUUUAGAGAUCCAACCUUUUCGUUCCAACUAAACGUCUGUCCUGUUGAUGAUACCACAGCUUGUAUUCAGCUUUUUGAUACGCACACCAGUUUACCCACCACGAACAUUUUAUACCUGUUUAGUCCCAUUCACUUCCAUUUAUUUUUUCAAAGGCAGGUUGAUCCACGGUACUUCUUAAAGAAUAGCAUGGACACACACACACACCUACAUGACCAAAAGUAUUAAGACAACUUAACACAACUACAUGACCAAAAAAAUUCAUGUACCACUGUAAUAAUAAGUUAUUUGGUAAAAAGCAGAGCUUGAUGAACAGAAUGGACGGCCACUGUCUCCCUCAUGACUUAUAAAAGAAUGUGUCAGGUUGUUCUAGAACAUUUCAAUAUUGAUUGUUUACAUAAACAAGUUAUAUAACCACGAAAAGGCAAAAACCAUUGCAAGUAGAUAGAACCUCACUAAAACACAGAGAGAAAAAAAGUAACUAAGGGCAGGCAACACUCGAGUAAGGGAGGGAAGCCUGGACAACUUCCAUCUCAUCUCCAGUGAAGGUUCUAGUUAACCUCUGCCCCGACCAUGGAGCCAUGACCAUAGGCUUAACCAACCACAGCCAGCUGCAAGGGGCAUCUGUGUGGGUAGGUGAUGGCUGAAUAGGGACAUUUAUUGCUUUUGCUACUUGUUUUAUCAUUUUGCAUGUGUUGUUGUUAAUACUAUCAUUUCAUUUACAUGUUAUAUACUGCAUUUAUAUGCUUUUAUAUAUAUUUUGUAAUGAGUUAUUAAUUAAUUAAUUGAUUGCCUACAGAUUUAUACUAUCAUUACCACUUAGUUACACAAUUUACUUAUUAACUGUUAUGUUACAUUUUGUUAGUUCAAUAAACAUUAUAAUGAUUAAUAAUUU